ACCAGUUUUUUCCCUAGGGAGAAGAUAAUCUAAAAAAUUCCAUAUUCCUACUCCCUGGCUUAAGUCUGUUUUCAACAGUUUUAUUCAUAGAGAGAAGAAAUAUACUGCUGUAAAAAAAAUUGGCAACGAUGGAGGAAAGCAUCUGCAAAACACACAAGAAGCAAAAAAAGGCUGGUGCUGACAAGUUCACCCAAGACAAUCAAGUAUAAGUUAUUGCUUUAACAACAUAGCCCUGAACGUGGGGCAGGGCAGAAUUACAUCACCUAAAGAGGAGCAUCUGAAAGAUUUUUCUUCUCCAAGCACAAAUCCUAAAGUCAUUUCUCCCUGAGAAGGAAGGUUGGUAGACUUUACCCUUGUGACUUGAUGGCCCAGCAUUCCUGGCAUAUUUAGAUACCAGAUACAUCAGAUAUCAGCUAAAGAAAAACAAAACAAAAAAACAGACGGGACAGUCACAUGUAAUAUAUAUUUGUGCAGUAUCUCACAGUGAGUUUAUCACUACAGUCUCCCUCCUUCAGCUGCCAUCCUUCUGAUCUCCAACAGCCUGAUCCUACUCCACUGCUAAAUAUGCUGUAUUCCCAUCUUCUUUGUAAUGACCAACAGUUAUAGAAGACACUGGUGUUUUCAGGAGAUUUAAAGAAAGUAGCAGCAACUGUACUGUCUGUGACAGUACUUUGAGCUCCUUUUUGCUCUGUACACUACAGCCUCCACUCUCUUCUCUAAUCAACAUCUGUCGUUUCUCAUCUGCUUCCCUCCAGACCCUCAGUGCUGGAAACAUGCAUUAAGAAGUGGGAAUUUUCUAAACAGAUGGGAAGCAGGUUGAUCAGAGCAGUAGGACAGCUGAAUUUGGGGCUUUUAUCUGUGAAACGUUUUUUUUCCUUUUUCUGUACUGUAUUGAGUACUAAAGAGAAGUGUGAGAUCAAUGUUUAUAAAUGCUUCAAAAUUUGGAAUUUGUCUGCCCAUUUUUC